rnacentral:rRNA from 1 species
CGCGGCCUAUCAGCUUGUUGGUGAGGUAAUGGCUCACCAAGGCGACGACGGGUAGCCGGCCUGAGAGGGCGACCGGCCACACUGGGACUGAGACACGGCCCAGACUCCUACGGGAGGCAGCAGUGGGGAAUAUUGCACAAUGGGCGAAAGCCUGAUGCGGCGACGCCGCGUGAGGGAUGACGGCCUUCGGGUUGUAAACCUCUUUCAGCAGGGAAGAAGCGAAAGUGACGGUACCUGCAGAAGAAGCGCCGGCUAACUACGUGCCAGCAGCCGCGGUAAUACGUAGGGCGCAAGCGUUGUCCGGAAUUAUUGGGCGUAAAGAGCUCGUAGGCGGCUUGUCACGUCGGGUGUGAAAGCCCGGGGCUUAACCCCGGGUCUGCAUUCGAUACGGGCUAGCUAGAGUGUGGUAGGGGAGAUCGGAAUUCCUGGUGUAGCGGUGAAAUGCGCAGAUAUCAGGAGGAACACCGGUGGCGAAGGCGGAUCUCUGGGCCAUUACUGACGCUGAGGAGCGAAAGCGUGGGGAGCGAACAGGAUUAGAUACCCUGGUAGUCCACGCCGUAAACGGUGGGAACUAGGUGUUGGCGACAUUCCACGUCGUCGGUGCCGCAGCUAACGCAUUAAGUUCCCCGCC